rnacentral:rRNA from 1 species
UGGGCCACCGUUUGUUGAGUGCAAAUAUGGAUGACUGUUUUUGCCGGCUUCACUGUCGGCUUAUAAGGGUUAUCAAAUAUCACUUUGAUUAAAUUAGAGUGCUCAAAGCAAGUGUGUUACUUGGAUAUAAAUGCAUGGAAUGAUGGAAUAUGUUGUUGUUCUAUUUGUCGGUUUUUGAACGAUGAAAUGAUUGAAAGGAACCGUUGGGGGCAUUCGUAUUGUUGUGAGAGAGGUGAAAUUCUUAGACCACAGCAAGACGAACUACUGCGAAAGCAUUUGCCAAGAAUGUUUUCAUUGAUCAAGAACGAAAGUUAGAGGUUCGAAGGCGAUCAGAUACCGCCCUAGUUCUAACCAUAAACUAUGCCAACUAGCAAUCUGCUUAUAUAUGUUCUAUGAUUAAGUAGGCGGCCACGGGAAACCAAAGUAGGGUUAUGGGGGAAGUAUGGUUGCAAAGCUGAAACUUAAAGGAAUUGACGGAAGGGCACCACCAGGAGUGGAGCCUGCGGCUUAAUUUGACUCAACACGGGAAAACUUACCUGGUCCUGACACUAGAAGGAUUGACAGAUUGAUAGCUCUUUCUUGAUUUGGUGGAUGGUGGUGCAUGGCCGUUCUUAGUUGGUGGAGUGAUUUGUCUGGUUAAUUCCGAUAACGAACGAGACUCCAGCCUAUUAAAUAACACACAGAAUCUUGUCUUCUGUGGUGUUUCUUAAUGGGAUCAAGUG